GGAAUCCCAGGCCCGCCCUCCUUCCGCCUCGGCGGCUUCUUCCCUCCUGAGAGCUCUGUCCGCCAACGGUGCGGCUGCUCAGAGGGGAGUCUGACACCAUGAGAGGUUAAGAAACUAAUCGAGAUCAUGACAGCAAAAACAGGGCAGAGCCAAAUUUGGAACCCAGUAUUUUAUAACUCCAAAUCUAAAAGAACUUGCAGCCACUGACCAGACCCCUUUCAAUUAUGUCAGGGAAACUGAGUAAGCUGGUUGUUACAUACUUACCGGGACACCGCCGCUCAUCUCCCCUCUCAAUGAUCAGGUGAUGCAAGAGGGAAAAGCCUGAGACGGAUUCACAAAUGGCUCGACUGGGUUUGUUGGUGAAAGCUGGAAAUGAACAGAGGCUGCACUGCCGCCUCACUCAGCAUGGUCCUGAAAGAUUAGCGAAACCAGCACUGAAUGCCCAGCAUGAUACAACUUCUCCAAGAGACCGAGCAACCGCUUGAUAACAGGUUAACUACUUUGGAUACCCUGGAAGGGGCAGCCAUUCAUUUUGCAAAGAAUAAACACAUUUUGACAAGAA